AAGGGAACCAGAAUGUCUCUUUUCAUUAAUAGUGUCGAGGCAGCAUUCACACUCAGCAGUCAGUCCCUAGAUUUUGGCCGAUCCCCAACACCACCUUCCUACAACCACCACUGAGAAGUCCAACAGCUAAAAUCACAGUAGCAUGGCAUUUCUUCAGUGGUGAAUAUCCUUUGGGAAUGCUCUUCAGCUUGAUACAAAUAUAUCUGCAAUUUCUGAAAUGUUCCUUUAAUGUGGACUGAUAUAGCUUUUGCAAGAGAAAUUUAAACCAAAUUAUGAAUAAUACUUUUCAUAGUUCAGCAAAAGUUGAAUGUUAUUUUUUUCUGAAAAAUACAAGAAUUUUUUUUAAGCUGAAGGCCAUCUUUACAGGAUAUUCAAAUCUUUAUCAGUGGCAUAGGCAGUGGGAUUGAGUAUACCCUCAGCAUGCUUGCGGAUGACAUCAAGCUGCAUGGUGAAGUUGAUACAAUGGAAGGGAUACGAGGAAUCCAAAGGGACCUGGACAUGCUUGAAAAGUGGGCCCAUGUGAACUGAAUGAGAUUAUAAAAGGCCAAGUGCAAAGUGCUGCAUUUGAGUUGGGAAAAUCUCAGAUAUGGGUAUUGACUUGGAGAAGGUCUCCUUGAGAGCAGUUCUGUCGAGAAGGACUUGGGGGUCUUGACUGAUGAAAAGCUGGACGUGAGCCUGCAGUGUGCACUUGCAGCCCAAAAGGCCAACAGUAUCCUGGGCUGCCUCAAAAGAGGGGCAACCAGCAAGGAGAGGAAAGUGACUGUACCCCUAUUCUCUGCCUCUGUGACCCCACUGUGGAUUACUGCAUCUAGGUCUGGGACCCCCAGUACAAGGAAGACACGGUACUGUUGUAGCAGGUCCAGAAGAGAGCCAUGAAGAUGCUCAGAGGACUGUGGCACCUCUCCUAUGAAGAAAUGCUGAGGGAGUUAGUCUUGUUCAGCCUGGAGAAAAGAAGGCUCUGAGGAAAUCUCACUGUGGCCUUCCAGUGCUUGAAGGGAGCUUAUAAGAAGGAAGAGGAAUGACUUUUUUACAUGGGUAGAUUGCUAAAAAAUGGGGUGAGAUGUUAGGAGGAAAUUCUUUACUCAGAGAAUGUUGAGGCACAGGCUGCCCAGAGAGGUUGUGGAUGCCCCAUCCAUAGAGGCAUUCAAGACAAGGUCGAAUGGGCCCGGGGCAGUCUGAUCUAGUGAGUGGCAGCCUUGACCAUGGCAGAGGGUUGGAACUAGAUGAUCCCUAGGGUCCUUUCGAGUUCAAACCAUUCUAUGAUUCUAUGAUUCAAAUAAAAAACCUACACAGCAUUUCUCAUCUGUCAUCUCUAAUGAUAAAAAAAAAAAAAAACAAAAAACCAAAAACCUUCUGGCUGAGUUUUGACUGAACUAAUUAUCUGUAUAAUUAAACAUAUAAUGAUAUGUAAUACCUUGACUGGUGAGGAAGAUGUGAUGCUCUCCAUAAGCAGCUCUGCAGGUCCAGAAAACUGGGAGUACUCUUCAGGCUACUCUUGCACAAAUUUCAAAUUCCUAAAUGCUACACUCUAGAAACCCCAGUACAAAGGGGUCAUACUUCAUAUAUCUCAAAUAUUCUGUCAGUCUCUGUAGAAACAAUUUUGUUUUGGGUCUCCUCUAAGGUUAUUAAUCUAGAGAAGUCCUCUGUAAAGAUGAAUUGCUGAGUCUGAGAGCACUUGGUGUUAUUUGACAAUAUUUCAAGCACGGUCAUGAGGAUUGGAUAUCCUCCCUGACGGAAACAUUAUUAGAGUGGAGUGUGGAUAAUGUAGUAAGUAUUUUGGAGUUUGAAUUGCACACGUUAAUUCAAGUGGUGUAAACUUAGAUCUGAGAAAGAGAUCUGCAACAUGAAGGGGAAAAGGUGAAUCUACAGUUCCAAUUGACUUCAAAAGAAACUAGGCUUCAUGUGCCAGCCUUGAACUAGACUCAUAAAUACAAAAUGAAGUACGCUUAAGGAAGACAAAGUGAACCAAAAAGAUUAAAGGAUUAACACUCACAGUUGCAAAACCCACAUAGGCGUCAAAAGCCACUUGCAUUGUUCUGUCCCUGGCAAUAACAUUAGCAGAUGCUGUUAAAUGCAUAAGAAACUAAAGCAAGUACAGAUUACUCUUUCAUUCAGAGUAUCCUCUUUACUUCUGAAGACAGUGGGUCAGGGGGUUCCUGAGACAGAAACCGUAAUGAUGUGUCUUUUUGUUUUUGAAGCCAUACUUUUGGCAUUUCCAACAUUUGGUGACAAUGAACUCUGUGUGAUAUUGUGUGUGCUAUUUUAUACAAAAUAACUAUGCAGUCAUUGGAAAAAAAUGUUCUGUUUUACAUUUGGAUCUUCUCCCUGGCUGUUGCAUUGGGAGCCUUGUAGUUCUUGUGCGCUAUUAGAAAUAGUAAACAGUUUUUCUCCACUCGUGUUAUUGGCAUCUUUGAAUAUUUUAUAU
ensembl:lncRNA